rnacentral:rRNA from 1 species
CAAUAGCGUAUAUUAAAGUUGUUGCGGUAAAAAAGCUCGUAGUUGGAUUUCUGCUGAGGAUGGGCGGUCCGCUCACUGAGCGUGUAUCUGCUUCAGCCUUGGCAUCCUCUCGUUAAUCGUUUCUGCGCUUGAUUGCGUGGGGCGGGUGGCGGGACUUUUACUUUGAGGAAAUUAGAGUGUUCACGGCAGGCUAUCGCCAGAAUACAUUAGCAUGGAAUAAUACUAUAGGAUCUUGGUCCUAUUUUGUUGGUUUCUAGGAUUAAGAUAAUGAUUAAUAGGGACAAUUGGGGGCAUUCGUAUCAACACGUCAGAGGUGGAAUUCUUGGAUUGUGUUGCGACGAACUACUGCGAAAGCAUUUGCCAAGGAUGUUUUCAUUGA